GCCGGGUGUGGUGGUGCACACCUGUAAUCCCAGCUACUCAGGAGGCUGAGGCAGGAGAAUCGCUUGAACCCAGGAAGCAGAGGUGUCAGUGAGCUAAGAUUACCCCACUGCACUCCAGCCUGGUGACACAGUGAGACCCUGUCUCUA
ensembl:misc_RNA Metazoa_SRP Metazoan signal recognition particle RNA